rnacentral:rRNA from 1 species
GACGAACGCUGGCGGCGUGCUUAACACAUGCAAGUCGAACGGAAAGGCCCUGCUUUUGUGGGGUGCUCGAGUGGCGAACGGGUGAGUAACACGUGAGUAACCUGCCCUUGACUUUGGGAUAACUUCAGGAAACUGGGGCUAAUACCGGAUAGGAGCCCCUGCUGCAUGGUGGGGGGUGGAAAUUUUGGCCGGUUGGGGAUGGAUUCGCGGCUUUUCAGCUGGUUGGUGGGGUGGUGGCAUACCAAGGCUUUGACGGGUAGCAGGCCUGAGCGGGUGACCGGCCACAUUGGGACUGAGAUAGGGCCCAGAGUCCGGCGGGAGGCAGCAGUGGGGAAUAUUGCACAAUGGGAGGAAGCCUGAUGCAGCAACGCCGCGUGCGGGAUGACGGCCUUCGGGUUGUAAAACGCUUUCGCCUGUGACGAAGCGUGAGUGACGGUAAUGGGUAAAGAAGCACCGGCUAACUACGUG